rnacentral:sRNA from 1 species
CUCUCAACUGAUACAUGUGAAUUACAUAUCUCCCUGAUAGGUGAAAACCAUUCACUAGGAGAGGAGAAACACAAUGGCCACCAAGACAGAGUUGAGUCCCACAGCAAGGGAGAGCAAGAACGCACAAGAUGUGCAAGUGGAUGAGACACUGAUCCCCAGGAAAGUUCCAAGUUUAUGUUCUGCUCGCUAUGGAAUAGCCCUCGUCUUACAUUUCUGCAAUUUCACAACGAUAGCACAAAAUGUCAUCAUGAACAUCACCAUGGUAGCCAUGGUCAACAGCACAAGCCCUCAAUCCCAGCUCAAUGACUCCUCUGAGGGGCUGCCUGUUGACUCAUUUGGUGGCCUAAGUAAAGCCCCAAAGAGUCUUCCUGCAAAGGCUCCUGUGUAUGACUGGUCUCCUCAAAUCCAAGGCAUCAUCUUUGGUGCUGUUGGCUAUGGUGGCAUACUGACAAUGGCUCCCAGUGGAUACCUGGCUGGAAGAGUAGGAACAAAGCGAGUGGUUGGCAUUUCUUUGUUUGCAACUUCAUUUCUCACUCUAUGCAUCCCUCCGGCCGCUGACUUUGGAAUAGUCUUGCUCAUUGUAACUCGAAUAGUCCAGGGCCUAAGCCAGUCCUCAAUACUUGGGGGUCAGUUUGCAAUUUGGGAAAAGUGGGGCCCUCCACAAGAACGAAGCAGACUCUGCAGCAUUGCUUUAUCAGGAAUGUUACUGGGAUGCUUUACUGCCAUCCUCAUAGGUGGCUUCAUUAGUGAAACCCUUGGGUGGCCCUUUGUCUUCUAUAUCUUUGGAGGUGUUGGCUGUGUCUGCUGCCUUCUCUGGUUUGUUGUGAUUUAUGAUGACCCCGUUUCCUAUCCAUGGAUAAGCACCUCAGAAAAAGAAUACAUCAUAUCCUCCUUGAAACAACAGGUACAUAUAAAGACACCAACACUUUUCUGAGACCUUGUAUCUGGAUUUUCUUGAGGCCUUAAAUCUGGAUUUUUAAGGGUGACUAAGUGUGUGAGCAUCUGUCGGAUUUACCGUUAUGACCAGUAAAUUUGUUUUCAGGUCAGGUCUUCUAAGCAGCCUCUUCCCAUCAAAGCUAUGCUCAGAUCUCUACCCAUUUGGUCCAUAUGUUUAGGCUGUUUCAGCCAUCAAUGGUUA